rnacentral:rRNA from 1 species
AUUUCCUACGGGAGGCAGCAGUGGGGAAUAUUGCACAAUGGGGGAAACCCUGAUGCAGCGACGCCGCGUGAAGGAAGAAGUAUUUCGGUAUGUACACUUCUAUCAGCAGGGAAGAAAAUGACGGUACCUGACUAAGAAGCCCCGGCUAACUACGUGCCAGCAGCCGCGGUAAUACGUAGGGGGCAAGCGUUAUCCGGAUUUACUGGGUGUAAAGGGAGCGUAGGCGGAUUGGCAAGUCAGAAGUGAAAGCCAGGGGCUCAACUCGGGGACUGCUUUUGAAACUGUUUACCUUGAUUGCAGGAGAG